rnacentral:lncRNA from 1 species
UCCCAUUGCCUAAGCAAAUAAAACAUCUGACCCAUGCAUCUUCUCACCAUGAAAGGUUAUGUCUUCUUGCCUUCUUCUUCUGCUCUUCUUCUGGACGACAGUAUUUUGGGUUAGGGAUUGGCCGAUUGGGGUGAUCGCAUCUGACGAGGUGAGUGGCAUCCAAGCAGCAGAUGAGGAGAGAAACAGCGACACUAGCAUGGAGACAAC